GCGCGCCCCGGCGGGGACCGACGCCGCCGCGCUGGUCGCGCGGGCGCUGGAGCUGGAGCCCUCGCUGCCGCUGAUCGCGGGCGGCGGGGCGCUCUCCA
rnacentral:tRNA from 1 species